GUUGUGUCAGCAUUGGCUAGAGAGGUGCUUCUGACUCAGUGCACCGCGUUCCUCCCUGUCUCUCCUGCUUAAAACAAUUCUGUCUAUAAUGCCAGUAGAUAUUUUGGCUUUGUCAAGGAGCAGUCUGGCAGGGAUGGCAGAGUCCAUUAUGGAGCACUGAAGCUUUAGUUCCAGUAGAGACCCACCCUCAGUGGAGGCAGCACUGAGACACUGCUAGCAUCACCCCCCACGGCUUCCAACCACCGCUGCCCGCCAUACACCUCUAGUACGGACAGGACCUGGAGAGUAAUGUAUGAAACACUGCUUCUGUCAAAGCGGCACUACAUUUGUUGGGUUAGAAGGUCAAGAACAUUACUGUUGGGUGAGUGGGUAGACUGGAGACAACUGAGGGCUCAGAAGCUGCAAGCUAAUGCACAGAACAAAGAAGCUGGCCAGUGUACAGCAGUGCAGGUGGAUAGUCCUACCAAAAGCCUGCAGAGGGGCCUUCUGGUUUAGUGUCAUCUGUUGCUGCAAAUAAACUAUUUCAUGAUUA